UACGAGAGGCCCAAACGUUAUUCGGAAUUACUGGGCUUAAAGAGUUCGUAGGCGGCGCAGAAAGUAGGGUGUGAAAGCCCUCGGCUCAACCGAGGAAUUGCGCCCUAAACUACUGUGCUUGAGGAACCUAGAGGUGAGCGGAACUGAUGGUGGAGCGGUGAAAUGCGUUGAUAUCAUCAGGAACACCGGAGGCGAAGGCGGCUCACUGGGGGUUUUCGGACGCUGAGGAACGAAAGCCAGGGGAGCGAACGGG
rnacentral:rRNA from 1 species